rnacentral:rRNA from 1 species
GACGAACGCUGGCGGCGUGCUUAACACAUGCAAGUCGAACGGAGUGGCGAACGGGGGGGUAACACGGGGGUGAGCUGCCCUGCACUUCGGGAUAAGCCUGGGAAACUGGGUCUACUACCGGAUAUUGUGGCAUGGGCCCGCGGCCUAUGAGAUUGUUGGUGGGGUAAUGGCCUCCCAAGUGGGCGGCGGGUAGCCGGCCUGAGAGGGGGGACGGCCCCAUUGUGACUGAGAGACGGCCCAGAAUCCUACGUGAGGCAGCAGUGGGGAAUAUUGCACAAUGGGCGGAAGACUGAUGCAGCGACGCCGCGUGGGGGAUGACGGCCUUCGGGUUGUAAACUCCUUUCACCAUCGACGCGGUACCUGGAGAAGAAGCACCGGCUAACUACGUGCCAGCAGCCGCGGUAAUAC